UACGGGGGGUGCGAGCGUUGUCCGGAAUCACUGGGCGUAAAGGGCGCGUAGGUGGCGUCGUAAGUCUGUGGUGAAAGCCCGGAGCUCAACUCCGGGUCUGCCGCGGAUACUGCGAGGCUUGAGUGCUGUAGAGGGGGGUAGAAUGCCGGGUGUAGCGGUGGAAUGCGUAGAGAUCCGGCAGAAGACCGGUGGCGAAGGCGGCCCCCUGGGCAGUAACUGACACUGGAGGCGCGACAGCGUGGGGAGCAAACAGG
rnacentral:rRNA from 1 species